rnacentral:rRNA from 1 species
UACGUAGGGCGCAAGCGUUGUCCGGAAUUAUUGGGCGUAAAGAGCUCGUAGGCGGUUUGUCGCGUCUGCUGUGAAAACCUAAGGCUCAACCUUGGGCUUGCAGUGGGUACGGGCAGACUAGAGUGCGGUAGGGGUGACUGGAAUUCCUGGUGUAGCGGUGAAAUGCGCAGAUAUCAGGAGGAACACCGGUGGCGAAGGCGGGUCUCUGGGCCACUACUGAC